rnacentral:rRNA from 1 species
UGCCAGACUCCUACGGGAGGCAGCAGUGGGGGAUAUUGCACAAUGGGGGGAACCCUGAUGCAGCGACGCCGCGUGGGUGAAGGAGUAUUUCGGUAUGUAAAGCCCUAUCGGCAGGGAAGAAGCAAGACGGUACCUGACUAAGAAGCCCCGGCUAACUACGUGCCAGCAGCCGCGGGAAUACGUAGGGGGCGAGCGUUAUCCGGAUUCACUGGGUGUAAAGGGAGCGUAGACGGCCAAGCAAGCCAGGGGUGAAAGCCCGGGGCCCAACCCCGGGACUGCCCUUGGAACUGCUUGGCUGGAGUGCGGGAGGGGCAGGCGGAAUUCCUGGUGUAGCGGUGAAAUGCGUAGAUAUUAGGAGGAACACCAGUGGCGAAGGCGGCCUGCUGGACGACAACUGACGGUGAGGCGCGAAAGUGUGGGGAGCAAACAGGAUUAGAUACCCCUGUA